rnacentral:lncRNA from 1 species
UUUUCAUCCCUCUCAUUAAGUCCAUCAGGUUCAAGAGUACGUAGCUGAUGCAUCCAAACCUUUCUCUCUGUUUUCUUUUUUCGGUGUCCCAAUUUUGGUUUACCUCAAUUAUUUGAAAGGUGAUAUUAUCAAAAGUAUGUCCUGUUCUUAAGAGGUGUCUCGUAAUUGGACAGUUUCUUCCUUUAGUAUAGAACGACCGGUGAUUGUUAAGUCUGAUGUUGAAUUUUGUUUCUGUUUCACCAACAUACUGCAGCUUGCAAGUUCCGCA